rnacentral:snRNA from 1 species
AGUUUGGUGCAGUGGCAGUAUCACAGCCAGUGAGGUUUACUCAAAGUGUGAUCAUUACUAAUUGAAACUUUAUAUAUCUUGCAUUGAAUCUGUUUCUCUAGUAAGCACUAACUGAUGCAAUAUUAUUAAUCUUUGACCCUUUUUAUGG